rnacentral:rRNA from 1 species
GAUGAACGCUGGCGGCGUGCCUAAUACAUGCAAGUCGAACGCUUAGCGAAAGUUGGGUGCACCGUUCAAGUGAGCGGCGAACGGGUGAUUAGCACGGGGACCACCUGCGUGGAGUCUGGGGGUAACAUUUGGAAACAUAUCCCAUUAGCGCAUAAAACGUAAUGUCGGGUGACACAAAGCUAAAAGGCGCUUAGGCGUCACCGAGUGAUGGAUCCGCGGGUCAUUAGUUAGUUGGUGGGGUAAAGGCCUACCAAGACAACGAGGCAUAGGCGAGACGAGAGGCGGAUCAGCCACAUUGGGACUGAGACACGGCCCAGACUCCUACAGGAGGCCGCAGUGGGGAAUCUUGGACAAUGGGCGAAAGCCUGAUGCAGCAACGCCGGGUGUAGGAUGAAGGCGUUCGGGUUGUAAACAACUGUUGUAUGGGAAGAACAGCUGGAAUAGGAAAUGAUUGUAAUAUGACGGUACCAUACCAAAAAGGAACGGCUAACUACGUG